UCUGCAGUUGGCCUCUGGCUCAGCCGCCUACGGAAAAAAUCCAGGAAAAGUUUUUGGACCAUAUCAUAGCCUCCUUGGGUCAUUAAUCUCCUCGGCCCUUGCAGAUACACAAAACAGAGUCAGUGGCUGGAGUUCUUGUUCCAUCCUGUGUUCUGAAAGACUGACUCUCCCCACCACCGCCUCCUCAGUUCCUCAAUUUCAAGCCCAGGAGAGACCCAGUCGGAACAUAAAGAGGCCUGUGGCCAUGGGGACAUGUGAGAGAGUGUGUCUGUCUGCAAAGAACAAUAGCUGCUCUUCUUCUGGUCCUGCUCUUCUAUUCCGGAGCCUUAGAAGACGUGAGUGACAGAGGAACAGAAAUGACACUCCUGUGGCCAGGCAUGAAAUUUAGCCACCAUAAUUCCUGGCCCCCAAGGGACUCUGCGUUUGAGACCUCUGGAUGAGAUCAUCAAGUGAUAAGAAUUCCAAUUUUCGUUUUCCUAAGUCUUUCAUCUGCCAAUCUACCCAACAUGAACUAGGGGCCACAUAGUAGGCCAGGCACGUUCUUAAGGGGCUCACAGACUGGAGGUGUACAUCUGUGAUUACAAUGUGCAUGGUAAAACUGGAUCGGCAGUUUUCAAGGACUGGAAUGUAAUAAAAUAUCCUCAAAACAAUAAGCAAGUUGGGCAUGACUUAGACUUUCACUGCCCAUGUAGAAGGGACUGUACAUUCUUGCAGCAUCUCAGCUGGACAUCAAGAGCUGAGUCAAACAAAUCCAUUCAGCGGUGGCAUGGAAGUGGGGCUGGCUGGGCACAAGGCAAAACUGUGAAGGGGAUAAAGUGCCUGUGGUUCUGCCUUGACUCUGGUCCCUGGAGUCUUCUCCUCUCGAGUUCUUAGAAUUAUGUCAUUACUCUUGCUCUAUCUCAUCCUGUCAAGACUUGUUUUAGAAAUUGGUGCCAGAGAGUUAGCUGCAUUCAAAUGUAAACUCAUUCUUCAUUUAGCAAGUUACUUAUUAGUGCCAGCUCUGUGUCAGGUUCUAUAUUAGGUACCAGGGGAGUACAGUGAUGAGCAAAACCAGUUCUGCUCUUCUGGAAUAGAGAAGAUUGGAAGAGGAUGGGGGGAGGGGCGGGUCACCAUUAAUCAAAGAGCCACAGAAGUAAGUGUAAAAUGUAGCUGGAGUAAGGGCCUCCAUGGUGAGGUGCUUGGUGCAGGGAUCCCUGGAUCUGACCAAACAGGCUUCCAGGAGGAAGUGACACUGUGCCCAGAGCGCAGGGAUGGAAGAAGGAUGCUCCCUCUGGGCAGAGAGUAAAGGGAGAAGGAUGGUGGGAAGGAGGGCAGGGGCCAGAUGCUGUGGGUAUGAUUUGGAUCUGUGUCCCCACCCAAAUCACAUGUCAAACUGUAA